GAGUUUGAUCGUGGCUCAGAUUGAACGCUGGCGGCAUGCCUUACACAUGCAAGUCGAACGGCAGCAUGAUCUAGCUUGCUAGAUUGAUGGCGAGUGGCGAACGGGUGAGUAAUACAUCGGAACGUGCCCUGUAGUGGGGAUAACUAGUCGAGGAUUAGCUAAUACCGCAUACGACCUGAGGGUGAAAGUGGGGGACCGGCAAGGCCUCAUGCUAUAGGAGCGGCCGAUGUCUGAUUAGCUAGUU
rnacentral:rRNA from 1 species